rnacentral:rRNA from 1 species
UCGGGAAUUUUGGGCAAUGGGCGCAAGCCUGACCCAGCGACGCCGCGUGAGCGAUGAAGGCCCUCGGGUCGUAAAGCUCUGUCAGAAGGGAAGAUGGGAGUCAUUGCGAAUAGUCUUGACUCUUGACGGUACCUUCAAAGGAAGCGCCGGCUAACUCCGUGCCAGCAGCCGCGGUAAUACGGAGGGCGCAAGCGUUGUUCGGAAUCACUGGGCGUAAAGCGCGUGUAGGCGGUCAGGAUAGUCGGAUGUGAAAUCCCGAGGCUCAACCUCGGAACUGCAUUCGAAACUGCCUGGCUAGAGUCUCGGAGAGGAAGGCGGAAUUCCCGGUGUAGGGGUGAAAUCCGUAGAUAUCGGGAGGAACACCAGUGGCGAAGGCGGCCUUCUGGACGAUGACUGACGCUGAGACGCGAAAGCGUGGGGAGCAAACAGGAUUAGAUACCCCCGUAGUCC